UGCACUCCAACCUGGGUGACAGAGCUAGACCCUAUCUCAAAAACAAAAAUAAACCAAGAGGGUUAAUGAGCACAGAGCAGAUAAUCUGAUGGAAGAUGAUUUAAAACUUCCCUGCUCUACACUAACUCAGCCCCCACCUCCUGAAGUGUCCAUGCACCCCCCACCUAAGCCCAGAGAUUGGGAGACAAAGGCUCUGCGGGCCCCUGGGAAAGGACUAAAUGACCAAUUGGCGCCACCUAGUGGUCAAUGGUGCAUGGGGAGCGGGAGGGCCCGGCUGCUCUGGGAUUGAAGGUGGAGUAAGAUCAUUGGCCCAGAGCGGUUGGGAAAAAUACACUAGGACCUCAGAAAGGAUGGGGUCAAGCCUAGCUGGCACCCCACUGAAGACAGGGUGAAGGUGCGCACAGGGCACAGGGUUCUAUUCUAGUUCCAGUUCUGCCACUAAGAACCUCUUCUGGCCUCAGCUACCUCCUCUGCAGAAUGGGAGUAAACAUUCCUUACCUCUCAGGUCACUGUGCAAGCCUUUGUUCACUUAUGAAACAUUUAACAAAGCAUCUGCUUUCAAGUCAUCCUGCUGAGGGUUGUGAGGACACAAAGACGUCUCAGCUGGGUCUCUCGGGAUCAAGGGAUCUGCUUCAUCCUAGCAGGGAGGCUGACCUGUAAAUUGCUCACCACCCUCAGAUGCAGAUCCCAGGGGACACUGAGGAGGGAGCAUGAGGCAUGGGAGGCAAGUGGAGGGACAGCAGGAAGUGAGACUCCCCCUCCAAGGGUGAAUGUCUUUGAGAAGUGGCAGGAACUGUGACAAGUCAGGUCAUAGGAUUAUCUUUCUGAGGGCCAUCACCUGGCCCCUCUUGCCUGGCCCCCUGCCUGCCUGCCAGCUGGGGGCUGGAUUGCCCUGGGCUGAGCUCCCUUCUCCGGGCUCAGCCCCCUCAGGGCCAGGCCAGCCUCCCCACACUACCACCUUGUCUUGCAUUAAGGCCUUUAAAGUGUACCAUAGGUCCAUCAGGGAUAAUUCACAUCUCUGCACAUUUGCACUGUAUAAUUCCUCUGUCCAAACGCCUUUCUCCAACUCGUUCACCUGGCAAACUCAACUCCAACCUUCCUGUGGGAGAGUGGAGAGUGGGAAAUCCCCGCAACUAGGAAGGAAACAGAAGUCAAGGGGUGCCCCCCGCCCCCAUCAGCAGUGGCCCAGCCUGUGAGAAUGUGAAAUAUACAUUUGGUUUUCAUCCCCAUUUCCUGGCAUGCAACUCCUAAAAUCCUUGGAAUCUCCAAAGUGAGAACAGGAAAAAGCAGUUGGAGUUUUUCCACCCACACCCUGCUAUAUGAGGGCAGGUUUCUUGGGCAGGAAGCUAGUCCUGGUCGCCUAAGGGUGAGGCUCAGAGGUUUGGGUCCACGUUCUCCUGGUCUGAGGCUGCCUCAUCAUCAUCUGGGGACUCCUGGAUCAGAGCCAGAGAAG